GAUGCUUGGCUACCCCAUAGUGGACUAUACAACACUGGCCCUUUAAGGCUCUCCUGGAGGAUGAUUGGCUACCCCAUAGUGGACUAUACAACACUGCAAUUCCAACUAAAUGCUUUGAGGUGGUUACGGUAGGCUACUUCAAAGCAAGGAGACGAGGUACCAGUUGCUGCGGCCAGCCCAGAGUGCUUCAUGGAUCGGCUACGCCAUCGCCUCCUAGAGGACUACGAGAUGGCUGCCAAGAUGGCAGAGGAGUUCAGGAAAACACAACCGACGUUUCCAGACCAGGUGAACUGUGAGCUGCUGCUGUACCAGAACCAGGUGCUGAGGGAGGCUUGGACUCUAUAAGGAGGCUCUGGACCACCUCACCACCCACCACCUACGAGAAACAGAUCUGUGACAAACUGGCCGUCGAGGAG